rnacentral:lncRNA from 1 species
UGCUAUGGGGUGUUAUAGGGCGCUAUGGGGCGCUAUGGGGUGUUAUGGGAUGCUAUCGGGUGCUAUGGGAUUGUAUGGGGUGCUAUGGGGUGUUAUAGGGCGCCUUGGGGCGCUAUGGGGCGCUAUGGGGUGUUAUAGGGUGCUAUGGGGCGCUAUAGGGUGCUAUGGGGUCACACUGUGGUUAUGGGGUCCUUAUGGGCUCUCUUGGCUCUAUGAGUCCCUAUUGGCUGUAUGGCGUCUAUGGGGUCCCUAUGGGUUCUAUCGGAUCCCUAUGGGGUCUAUGGGAUCCCUAUGAGCUCUAUGGGUCCCUAUGGGCUCUAUGGGAUCCCUAUGGGGUCUAUGGGAUCCCCAUGGGGUCAAUGGGUCCCUGUGGGUUCUGUGGGGUCCCUAUGGGUUCUGUGGGAUCCCCAUGGGUUCUAUGGGGUCCCUAUGGGUUCUAUGGGUCCCUAUGGGUUCUAGGGGUCCCUAUGGGUUCUAUGGGGUCCCCAUGGGUUCAGUGGGUCCCUAUGAGUUCUAUGGGAUCCCUAUGGGUUCUGUGGGGUCCCUAUGGGUUCUAUGGGUCCCUAUGGGUUUUAUGGGAUCCGUAUGAGUUCUAUGGGGUCCCCAUGGGGUCUGUAGGGUCCCUAUGAGUUCUAUGGGGUCCCCAUGGGGUCAAUGGGUCCCUAUGGGUUCUAUGGGUCCCUAUGGGUUCUUGGGGAUCUUUAUGGGGUCAAUGGGUCCCUAUGUGUUCUAUGGGGUUCGCAUGGGGUCAAUGGGUCCCUAUGGAUUCUAUGGGGUCCCCAUGGGGUCUAUGUGUCCCUAUGGGGUCUAUGGGAUCUGUAUGGGCUCUAUGGGUCCCUAUGGGUUCUGUGGGGUCCCUAUGGGUUCUAUGGGUCCCUAUGGGCUCUAUGGGUCCCUAUGGGUUCUGUGGGGUCCCUAUGGGUUCUGUGGGGUCCCCAUGGGGUCAAUGGGUUCUAUGGGAUCCCUAUGGGUUCUAUCGGUCCCUAUGGGUUCUAUGGGGUCCCCAUGGGUUCUAUGGGGUCCCUAUGGGGUCCCUAUGGGUUCUAUGGGGUCCCUAUGGGUUCUAUGGGUUCUAUGGGGUCCCUAUGGGUUCUGUGGGAUCCCUAUGGGUUCUAUGGGGUCCCUAUGGGUUCUAUGGGAUCACUAUGGGUUCUAUGGGGUCCCUAUGGGUUCUGUGGGAUCCCUAUGGGUUCUAUGGGGUCCCUAUGGGCUCUGUGGGGUCCCUAUGAGUUCUGUGGGGUCCCCAUGGGGUCAAUGGGUUCUAUGGGAUCCCUAUGAGCUCUAUGGGAUCCCUAUGGGUUCUAUGGGUCCCUAUGGGUUCUAUGGGGUCCCUAUGGGUUCUAUGGGUCCCUAUGGGUUCUAUGGGGUCCCCAUGGGUUCUAUGGGAUCCCUAUGGGUUCUAUGGGGUCCCUAUGGGCUCUGUGGGGUCCCUAUGAGUUCUGUGGGGUCCCCAUGGGGUCAGUGGGUUCUAUGUGAUCCCUCUGGGUUCUGUGGGGUCCCUAUGGGUUCUAUGGGUUCUAUGGGGUCCCCAUGGGUUCUAUGGGAUCACUAUGGGUUCUGUGGGAUCCCUAUGGGUUCUAUGGGGUCCCUAUGGGCUCUGUGGGGUCCCUAUGGGUUCUAUGGGGUCCCUAUGGGUUCUGUGGGGUCCCCGUGGGUUCUAUGGGGUCCCCGUGGGUUCUAUGGGGUCCCCGUGGGUUCUAUGGGUUCUAUGGGAUCCCUAUGGGUUCUAUGGGGUCCCUAUGGGCUCUGUGGGAUCCCCAUGGGGUCAAUGGGUCCCUAUGGGCUCUGUGGGGUCCCCAUGGGGUCAAUGGGUCCCUAUGGGCUCUGUGGGGUCCCUAUGGGGUCUCCAUGUGUGUCGUCGUCCCCCCCCCCCCAGACGUGGACGAGUGCCUGGACGAGUCCAACUGCGCGGGGGGGUCGUGUGAAAACACGCGCGGUUCGUUCCGCUGCCUCUGCCCCCCCCCGGCCCGCUACGACCCGCAGCGCCGCCGCUGCCUGCCCCACGCCGGUGAGUCACGUGAUCGGGGGAGUGGGGGGGGGCAGUCACGUGAUCAUCGGGGAGGGGUGUCGUGUGGGGCCUCGGGUGUGUCACGUGAGCCUAGCGUGUGUCACGUGGUCCUCGUGGGAGCCUCGCGUGUCAAGUGGUGCUCGUGUGUGUGUGUGUGUCACGUGAUCCUCGUGUCUGUCAUGUGGUCCUCAUGUGUGUCACGUGGUAAUCACGGGAUCCUCAUGCAAUGCUUGGGCAACCCUCGUGCAACCAGUAGCCACCCCUUGUGCAACCCUCGUGCAUUCAGUACCCGCCUCUCGUGCAACCCUCGUGCAACCCAUCGCCAGCCCUCCUGCAACCAUCGUGCAACCCUUGUGCAACCCUCGUGUACCCCAUAGCCACCUCUUGCACAGUCCUUGUGUAAUGCUUGGGCAAUCCUCGUGCAACCCCUGUGCAACCCAUUGCCACCCCUCGUGCACCCCUCGUGCAACGCAUCACC